GCCUGGGUGGCUCAGUUGGUUGAGUGCCUGACUUCGGCUCAGGUCAUGAUCUCACGGUUUGAGAGUUCGAGCCCCGCGUCAGGCU
rfam:Felis catus isolate Cinnamon breed Abyssinian chromosome E2, whole genome shotgun sequence.